GAUGAACGCUGGCGGCGUGCCUAAUACAUGCAAGUCGAGCGAACGGACGAGAAGCUUGCUUUUCUGAUGUUAGCGGCGGACGGGUGAGUAACACGUGGAUAACCUACCUAUAAGACUGGGAUAACUUCGGGAAACCGGAGCUAAUACCGGAUAAUAUUUUGAACCGCAUGGUUCAAAAGUGAAAGACGGUCUUGCUGUCACUUAUAGAUGUAUCCGCGCUGCAUUAGCUAGUUGGUAAGGUAACGGCUUACCAAGGCAACGAUGCAUAGCCGACCUGAGAGGGUGAUCGGCCACACUGGAACUGAGACACGGUCCAGACUCCGAAGGGAGGCAGCAGUAGGGAAUCUUCCGCAAUGGGCGAAAGCCUGACGGAGCAACGCCGCGUGAGUGAUGAAGGUCUUCGGAUCGUAAAACUCUGUUAUUAGGGAAGAACAUAUGUGUAAGUAACUGUGCACAUCUUGACGGUACCUAAUCAGAAAGCCACGGCUAACUACGUG
rnacentral:rRNA from 1 species